rnacentral:rRNA from 1 species
UGGGGAAUAUUGGACAAUGGGCGCAAGCCUGAUCCAGCAAUGCCGCGUGCAGGAUGAAGGCCUUCGGGUUGUAAACUGCUUUUGUACAGAACGAAAAGGCUCUGGUUAAUACCUGGGGCUCAUGACGGUACCGUAAGAAUAAGCACCGGCUAACUGCGUGCCAGCAGCCGCGGUAAUACGUAGGGUGCAAGCGUUAAUCGGAAUUACUGGGCGUAAAGCGUGCGCAGGCGGUUAUGUAAGACAGAUGUGAAAUCCCCGGGCUCAACCUGGGACCUGCAUUUGUGACUGCAUAGCUAGAGUACGGCAGAGGGGGAUGGAAUUCCGCGUGUAGCAGUGAAAUGCGUAGAUAUGCGGAGGAACACCGAUGGCGAAGGCAAUCCCCUGGGCCUGCACUGACGCUCAUGCACGAAAGCGUGGGGAGCAAACA